UUCCCAUGCCGGGAAUCGAACCCGGGCCGCAGGUGAGAAGCCAGCAAUCCUAACCACUGAGCCACAUGGGA